rnacentral:rRNA from 2 species
GGGUUGUGAGGUUAAGCGACUAAGCGUACACGGUGGAUGCCCUGGCAGUCAGAGGCGAUGAAGGACGUGCUAAUCUGCGAAAAGCGCCGGCGAGGUGAUAUGAACCCUUGACCCGGCGAUGUCCGAAUGGGGAAACCCAGUGCAAUCCGUUGCACUAUCGUUAACUGAAUACAUAGGUUAACGAGGCGAACCGGGGGAACUGAAACAUCUAAGUACCCCGAGGAAAAGAAAUCAACCGAGAUUCCCCCAGUAGCGGCGAGCGAACGGGGAGCAGCCCGGAGUCUGAAUCAGUUUGUGUGUUAGUGGAACGGUCUGGAAAGUCCGACGGUACAGGGUGAUAGUCCCGUACACGAAAGCACACUUGCUGUGAACUCGAAGAGUAGGGCGGGACACGUGGUAUCCUGUCUGAAUAUGGGGGGACCAUCCUCCAAGGCUAAAUACUCCUGACUGACCGAUAGUGAACCAGUACCGUGAGGGAAAGGCGAAAAGAACCCCGGCGAGGGGAGUGAAAAAGAACCUGAAACCGUGUACGUACAAGCAGUGGGAGCACCUUCGUGGUGUGACUGCGUACCUUUUGUAUAAUGGGUCAGCGACUUAUAUUCUGUAGCAAGGUUAACCGUAUAGGGGAGCCGAAGGGAAACCGAGUCUUAACUGGGCGUUAAGUUGCAGGGUAUAGACCCGAAACCCGGUGAUCUAGCCAUGGGCAGGUUGAAGGUUGGGUAACACUAACUGGAGGACCGAACCGACUAAUGUUGAAAAAUUAGCGGAUGACCUGUGGCUGGGGGUGAAAGGCCAAUCAAACCGGGAGAUAGCUGGUUCUCCCCGAAAGCUAUUUAGGUAGCGCCUCGUGAACUCAUCUUCGGGGGUAGAGCACUGUUUCGGCUAGGGGGCCAUCCCGGCUUACCAACCCGAUGCAAACUACGAAUACCGAAGAAUGUUAUCACGGGAGACACACGGCGGGUGCUAACGUCCGUCGUGAAGAGGGAAACAACCCAGACCGCCAGCUAAGGUCCCAAAGUCAUGGUUAAGUGGGAAACGAUGUGGGAAGGCACAGACAGCCAGGAUGUUGGCUUAGAAGCAGCCAUCAUUUAAAGAAAGCGUAAUAGCUCACUGGUCGAGUCGGCCUGCGCGGAAGAUGUAACGGGGCUAAACCAUGCACCGAAGCUGCGGCAGCGACACUAUGUGUUGUUGGGUAGGGGAGCGUUCUGUAAGCCGUUGAAGGUGUGCUGUGAGGCAUGCUGGAGGUAUCAGAAGUGCGAAUGCUGACAUAAGUAACGAUAAAGCGGGUGAAAAGCCCGCUCGCCGGAAGACCAAGGGUUCCUGUCCAACGUUAAUCGGGGCAGGGUGAGUCGACCCCUAAGGCGAGGCCGAAAGGCGUAGUCGAUGGGAAACAGGUUAAUAUUCCUGUACUUGGUGUUACUGCGAAGGGGGGACGGAGAAGGCUAUGUCAGCCGGGCGACGGUUGUCCCGGUUUAAGCAUGUAGGCGGAGGUUCCAGGUAAAUCCGGUACCUUAUUAACGCUGAGGUGUGAUGACGAGGCACUACGGUGCUGAAGUGAUAAAUGCCCUGCUUCCAGGAAAAGCCUCUAAGCAUCAGGUAACACGAAAUCGUACCCCAAACCGACACAGGUGGUCAGGUAGAGAAUACCAAGGCGCUUGAGAGAACUCGGGUGAAGGAACUAGGCAAAAUGGUGCCGUAACUUCGGGAGAAGGCACGCUGAUGUGUAGGUGAAGCCCCUGCGGGCGGAGCUGAAAUCAGUCGAAGAUACCAGCUGGCUGCAACUGUUUAUUAAAAACACAGCACUGUGCAAACACGAAAGUGGACGUAUACGGUGUGACGCCUGCCCGGUGCCGGAAGGUUAAUUGAUGGGGUUAGCUGUAAGGCGAAGCUCUUGAUCGAAGCCCCGGUAAACGGCGGCCGUAACUAUAACGGUCCUAAGGUAGCGAAAUUCCUUGUCGGGUAAGUUCCGACCUGCACGAAUGGCGUAAUGAUGGCCAGGCUGUCUCCACCCGAGACUCAGUGAAAUUGAACUCGCUGUGAAGAUGCAGUGUACCCGCGGCAAGACGGAAAGACCCCGUGAACCUUUACUAUAGCUUGACACUGAACACUGGUCCUUGAUGUGUAGGAUAGGUGGGAGGCUUUGAAGCGUGGACGCCAGUCUGCGUGGAGCCGCCCUUGAAAUACCACCCUUUAAUGGCUGGUGUUCUAACGUAGACCCGUAAUCCGGGUUGCGGACAGUGUCUGGUGGGUAGUUUGACUGGGGCGGUCUCCUCCCAAAGAGUAACGGAGGAGCACGAAGGUUGGCUAAUCCUGGUCGGACAUCAGGAGGUUAGUGCAAUGGCAUAAGCCAGCUUGACUGCGAGCGUGACGGCGCGAGCAGGUGCGAAAGCAGGUCAUAGUGAUCCGGUGGUUCUGAAUGGAAGGGCCAUCGCUCAACGGAUAAAAGGUACUCCGGGGAUAACAGGCUGAUACCGCCCAAGAGUUCAUAUCGACGGCGGUGUUUGGCACCUCGAUGUCGGCUCAUCACAUCCUGGGGCUGAAGUAGGUCCCAAGGGUAUGGCUGUUCGCCAUUUAAAGUGGUACGCGAGCUGGGUUUAGAACGUCGUGAGACAGUUCGGUCCCUAUCUGCCGUGGGCGCUGGAGAAUUGAGGGGGGCUGCUCCUAGUACGAGAGGACCGGAGUGGACGCAUCACUGGUGUUCGGGUUGUCAUGCCAAUGGCACUGCCCGGUAGCUAAAUGCGGAAGAGAUAAGUGCUGAAAGCAUCUAAGCACGAAACUUGCCCCGAGAUGAGUUCUCCCUGAGACUUUAAGUCUCCUGAAGGAACGUUGAAGACGACGACGUUGAUAGGUCGGGUGUGUAAGCGCAGCGAUGCGUUGAGCUAACCGAUACUAAUGAACCGUGAGGCUUAACCUUACAACGCCGAAGGUGUUU